UCUCCUCUCUGCCCCCCACCUCCCUACCAGAUCCGGCGGCCUACGGCAGCAAUUUGGUCCUCCAGAUGCUGCGCAAACCUUAAAUUUUUCUCUUAGCUGGGACAAAAGAGUUCGAGAAAUCUUGGAUCUUUCGCCUAAUUGGGAUUGAAAAAAAAUUGUGCAGUUGGCAACUAGCAACGCCUAGUGUGUGUUUGUAUGGGGAUUGUUUUCAUAUUUUUUUGGGAGCCACCAGUAAAAUUUUCAACAGUCCUAUCGGCUCCGCAUACAGUCCAACAGGAGCACCUAAAACCAUCAGAAACUAAGGGGUUGUUCGGCAGUCCACCCACUCCCCGGUAUUUAAGAAUCUGCAAAGUACCAUUUUGCUCGUUCCAUAUUUUUUAACUGAAACUCCGUCAACUCCGGGAGCAGCCUCGUGGAGCGGAGGGCCUCCGAACAGGCCCUAACUCCUGGCAAUAUUGUCAAUACACUCCUCCACAAUGCACUCAACAAGUUCAGGUUCUCUGCUUGGGUGAGUGGAGGAAGCCGGGGCGGCGGCCCCGGGCUAUAGGCCAUGGCGUCUUGUCAUGGUGGUGGCCGGGACGGGCUCACCCGACGGAUCCUUGUCUGGUUGAAGUCCCGGCCGGAGUUUGCGCCUGCAUCUCACUCGCAGCUUGAGGUGCUGUUGUGUGGGUGUUGUCGCAGUUGAGCUUGGUGGUCGACGACGGAGGGUGCAAGGCGCAGCGGGAACAUCUCCGACGAUCUCCACGCUCAUGGGUGGUCCAGAUCUGCAGGCCUUUGUAGGGAUGGCCUAAACCUACGACUGCGGCGGCUCAGGAGGAGCUGAAAAUGCAGUUCCAUAGAAAGAAAGAAGAGUUGUUCGAUGUGCUGGUGGAGUUGUCAAGGACACACACGUACCCAAAUCUCUCCUGGGAGGCCCUCCAGGUCAAUCAGCUCGCUACUCGACUUGUUGGGAAGGUGGAGCCUAGGCCUGCUGACUACUACUGGCGCAGUUAUCGACUACAAGGCAGACUGUGGCGGACUCACGGGAAGAUAUCACAACACAACUCUAAAACAUAACUAAGUCAUACAAGCAUCAUAAUACAAGCCAGGGGCCUCGAGGGCUCGAAUACAAGU